UUUCAUUCAGCUAGGCAAAAAGGCUUUGAGCAGCCCUGCAAUUGCCUUUCUCUCAUUUAUUUGUGCUAGAAUUAAGGUUUAUUUGUUUUCUGUUUUCCUCGUCUUCAGAUUGUUUCUCUGUCUUCAUCCAUUUAACAAACUGUUUCCUCCUGUAUCUCAGAAGGAGGCACCUCCAGGGCCUACCUCUCCGCAGCCUGCAUACCUUCUUUGAGUGCAUGUCUCCCAUUUUGCUGGAGCUUCUAAAUAUCUCUCAAGCCUGCAAAGCACCCUGGCUAUAUGAAAACUAACAAGUAGGAAGAAAGCUUUUGGAGUCAUAUACCGGCUUACUAUCUCCUUGUCUGAGAUCAAGAUUAAUGCGGCUCUCAGCCUUCAUCAGGGAACCUUCCUUUUGUAUUGGACGGCAGUCAAUAUAUGUACUCGCAAAUGGUCAAAGUACAGAAAAUACGUGAAGGUGGAGUGCUCAGCCCCAAAUGUAGCAUCUGUAUUAGAUCCCUUCACCCCAAGACUCAGAGAACAUCACAGAGGAGAUCCUAAGAAGACUGUACAAGCCGGAGACAGAGAAGGACUUCUGUGAAACAGUGUCUUCUGGACAUGAAAGGGCUCUUACACUCAUGAGCUCUCUGCAGUUGUGAUUGUCUGCAUCACAUUCUUCAAAAUAUGCAUGGGGGAGGAGCUUCUGAGCUGCCAUGCUUGCUGGAUACUAUUGGCAGUUCAUGGAUACUAGGAGUAUUGGAAUAAUUUUUCUUUGGAAGUAUGGCCACUGCUAGGUUUCCCAUAUUCCUGGUGGAUUGCCCUAUAUCUAUGUGUAAGAGUCUACCUUCAUU